rnacentral:ncRNA from 2 species
UUUUAAUCGCGGGGGGACACACUUGUGUUGAGAAGGCUAAAACCUGACCCUUUGAACCUGUUAGUUAAUACUGACGUAGGGAGCAAUUAGUGGUUUUCU